rnacentral:misc_RNA from 1 species
AAACCAAACCAAGAAGCGGAAGAGAACGAGUCGAUAUAAAAUUUAU